GGGCCCGCACAAGCGGUGGAGCAUGUGGUUUAAUUCGACGCAACGCGAAGAACCUUACCUGGGCUCGAACGGCGGAGUAAGGCGGAUGAAAGUCCGCGUCCUCUUCGGAGGGACUUCGUCGAGGUGCUGCAUGGCUGUCGUCAGCUCGUGUCGUGAGAUGUUGGGUUAAGUCCCGCAACGAGCGCAACCCUUGUCACUAGUUACCAGCGGGUCAUGCCGGGGACUCUAGUGAGACUGCCGGCGCAAGCCGGAGGAAGGUGGGGACGACGUCAAGUCAUCAUGGCCCUUACGUCCAGGGCUACACACGUGCUACAAUGGCGAGAACAACGCGCUGCAAGCCCGCGAGGGCAAGCGAAUCGCUCAAAGCUCGCCUCAGUUCGGAUUGGAGUCUGCAACUCGACUCCAUGAAGCUGGAAUCGCUAGUAAUCGCGCAUCAGCUACGGCGCGGUGAAUACGUUCCCGGGCCUU
rnacentral:rRNA from 1 species